rnacentral:lncRNA from 1 species
UUUUUCUUUUUCUAAACCUUUUCUUUCCAUGUUAGAAUCAAUGUUGUGUAUUGGUUCCAAGGCAGAAGAGCAGAAAGGGCUAGGAAAUGGAUUUUAAGUGGCUUGAGUGGGGCAGAGUCCUUGCUUAAUGGCAGUCAUGGACCACAGAGACCUUUAAGUAUGUGUUCAGGGACACCACACCUGGCUCCCCCACAGGGGAUCUUUCCAUGUAUGACUUUGGCUCCAGCUUCCUGCUAAUGCUUCCUGAAUCUUGUCAUAAAACCCAUCCUUUGCUCCAGAUUUUUCCUAGACAGAUUGCCUUAAUGUCAGCUCCAGCUGAUGCUCAUCAACAAUGUCUGAGUGAGUCAGGCUUGAAAAACAACUCCAGGAGCUCUCAAGUGAGCAAAGGUCACUGUGCUGUUCGGAUGCUCCCCAGAAUCUACUUUGGCCCCACUGGAUGGAGGCUUUUGGGACUCCAAUUUGAGCUUUUCCCACAACUUUACCCCUCUGGCCUUCCACUCUGCCAAGCACUGGAUGAGACUUGAAAUAUCCAAACAACUCUGGGAAGCAGCAGAAAGCACAAACCAGGGUUUGGGUCUUCCAUUUCCUGAUUUAGACUGGAUCAGCUCCUCUGUGGCUCCUCCACUCGCUUCUGGAGACAAAUGGUCAGUUUUUUUCUCUCCAAGAGGUUGAUCUCUCUGGAUUUAUUCAAGGUCACAUCCCACAGUAAUUAUCAAGGUAUACGCUUGGCUAAGUUUAGAGGACACUGUCUAUUUUCUGAAGCAGAUGUUGACAUGGAAGCUGCCAUUAUCGUCAUGGUGAUCUGUUUAUUUACAUCCAUCCUGAGUACUAGAAGACAAGAUGAACAUCUAUGGAGAGAGUGGAAUCGCAGAGUCCAAAUUCAAGCCAGGUUUUGUUGCCAGCAUCUCAUCCAUCCCCCUAACGAGCAAGGAGCAAUCUUGAGGAGGGAUCUUCAAAAUACCAGCCCAGCAGAAAGACUCAUUUGGUUGUCAUUAGCCAUCUACACAUGAACUUGGUGGGACGAAUGCUAUGUAGGAACUGAAUUAAGUUUUGAGGCCAUUUCUCCAGAGACUGAGGUGGAAUAGGGGAAAAGAAUACCCACAGUAAUUGUGCUGUAUAAUUACAGCAACCAGGUUUGGCCCAGGAGAAGAAACAAGAAAAUGUGUCCCCCUCCCUUCCUUCUUUGAAAAGGUGCUGGAAGAGAUGUUUCUACAUUUAUUCUUGCUAUACCUUUAAAGUAAAUAUCUCUUUGUGAAAGCUUAUUGAUGUCAAGUGUUUCAAUGGAUCUGAGACCCUCUUCACUGGCCUCUAGUUAUGGGAGGGUGGUAGAGCCAGGAGCAGCUCAAACCAAUGGCAGUAGUGAUAAAGUUCAGUCCCAUCCCAAAAGGUUAUAUCCUAGAAACCUGAGUGGAGAUGUAGACUGUCUGGCUCUGGCAGAGUAGAGCAGAACACACCUUCUCCAUGCUAUUUUACUUUCAGUGGUACCACAUAUUGAUUAUCUGGGACACCAGGAGAAUCACCUUUAUUGUUGCUUUAAGAACUAUGGUUUGCAUUCAUGUUCUAUGGUUACAGGUUUUAAGCUUACCCUGGCUGAUUUUUCAAGGACCACAGACAGUUUUGGUCUAGGGAAGAAUCUAUAACACUUCCCUAGGGGACAUUCCUAUAAUGUUGUGUACCAGUGUACACAGUGCAGGUGGGAAAACAUGACCCAGAUGAUAUUGUGAUCUCCUUGGUUGAGCUGAGAUUUUCUCUUCUAAGCCCCCAAACCCAUUCACUCCUGUGUAUUUUGUUGUCUCCACUAUUCUAGGUAACUUCCCCAUCUCUGUUUCAUCAUUUUCUUUGGCAAAUACACUUACCUGCCAUUUGGGGUUGUCUUUUGUGGACUACUAAGUUUCUUGGAGGAGGAGUUAGAGUUGGUCUGGAAUGGAUAUGGUAGAUUCACUCAGGAUUUAGUUUAGGGAAAGGCCCCUGACAUCAAAGUGAUGAAGAAAACAAAGACUCAUUCCAUAGCAGCACCACAGGCUCCCCUGGCUUUUCAAAAUGGCCAAAGUGAUUAAUGGGAGAGGUGAAUAAGCAACCCAAAAGAGAGUCAUAUUUGAACUUGCAUCCAUCUCUGGAUGAACAUCUCUGGAUGGAUGGUGCCUCAUCCAUUCCUCUAUGUAAGCCCAGUAUUUCAGGAUCGGGGUUAGGGGGCUUGUUUUUAAACUGUAUCCCACUAGCAUAGGCUUUUUGUCUUCCAUCCUCUAUUAUACAGACCCAUUAGCCCUAAACUACAAGGACAGUUGGUUGUCUCUCGAACCAAGAAUGACGAUUGUCUUUGUGUGUUUUUGUGCACAAAGACACCUGUGCAUGAAGAUUUAAGUGGAAAAGUCGAUGCACAGAGACAGUCCCACUCUCUUGGCGUUGGAAGCCUGGGUCCAUUGGCACGAAAAGUUGUUACACCUGGAGACUUCCUCAGCUGCAUUGGAUAGCCAUGUUGUCUUUUGUGCUCCAUCACGCCCAUAGCACUCCACAGUGCCUUGCUGCAUCGCCAUCUCAGCCGUUGAACCCUCUUGUUGGUUUCUUCCGCCUGUUCCGCCGAAGCAGUCUUCACAUGCUGGGUGAGCAAAGCCCUAGUUCACCAGGGGUCGACGUUGACCUGAUGGCUACCCUCACAAGGUUUAGCCAGCCUGUCGAAGCCGUUGCUUGGGGUGUGGCCGCUGCCGCAUGCUAGCAGCUACUAGGAGCCACAAGUGAGAGCUGGGUGUCAGGUGAGGGUCAGUGGCUGGAGAGCUGCCCUAGAAGGGCACGACAAGCCCUCCAUACCAGAGAUAUUACCCCUCCCUGAGCACCCAAUACACCCUACAAGGACAGUACUUACUUACAUACCCAUUGCACAUAAACAUAGCAUAUAGAGAUUUAUUUAUGUCCAUGUUAUUUUCCUUGUUAGAGUAUAAGAUCCUGGAGGGCAAGCACUUUUAUUUUUGGAUCUUUAGCAUCUACUAUUGUGCUGAGCAUUUAAUAGAGUAUUAGUAAAUCUUUGUUAUUGAACUAUUAGCUCCUCACAAAAUGUAGGACAGCUAGGUGGUAUAGUAGAUAGAGCACCUCCCUGGAGUCAGAAAGACACUUCUUCCUGAGUUCAAAUCUGACCUCAGACAUUUAUUGGCCUGUGACCCUGGUUAAAUCACUUAACUUUGUUUGCCUCCAUUUUCUCAUCUGUAAAAAGAGCUGGAGAAGGAAAUGACAAGUCCUUCCAGUAUAUUUGCCCAAGAAACCCCAAAUAGGGUCAUGAAGAGUGGGUCACAAUUGAAAUGACCUAAUGACAGCAGUAAAAUGUAAUCUCCUCAAGGGCAGGGAUUGCUUCUUUGCAGUUUUUAUGUACCCAGCAUUUGGCAUAGUGCCUAGCAUCCAGCAGAUAUUUAAUGAUAUAUCAACAUACAAUAAUAUGUUAAUUGGUUGAUGACAUUUCCUUAUCUUCCUCAUCUAAAUGACCAUCAAUGUUUCUCCCCUGGACUCUCCACCAAAAUUCCUGGUCUCAUGCAUCAGGUAGGUCUAGUCAGCAGAUUUACAGCUUUGUCUCCAAACUUCUCCACAAUUCUAACUAGCUAUGCCCACAAAGGCAGUUUAGGCAGCUGUGACUCUCCCUCCCUUUCCCAGCUCUAGUCUCUCUCAAAAAGGGAGCUUCCCAUCCCUUAGUCCUAGGUGAAUUGAGGCAAGUGAAUUCUUUUCAUCAGAUCUGAACAACCUAUUUCCUGUUUUCCAGCCUUGGGCAUAGGCAGGAGACUUUCAUCCACACUCAGCAUCUUCCUCUGAUCUUUCUGAGGAUGGAGAUAAAACAAAGCUUUUUCUUUUGCCUUUGCAAUUUCUAGUAGGCUCAUGCAAGUCUCCAGAAGGCACCAGCAAUUCUGUAAGGAGAAAGGACAAAAAUGGCAGUGUUUACCUGUAUUCUAGCGAUGCCCAGGUCACCUUUACAAGGGAAUGAAUGAGUGCAUGAAUAAAUGAAUGCACCCUUGCCUCA